GCCAGAAGCCCGGCAGGGUGGCUGCGAAGUGUCUGCCUGGGCCCCUGCCUGGCGCACCGCCCUCACGGUGGUGGGCAGCUGGCCGCGCCUCCGGGCUGUGGCUUCUGCCCCGGGGCGGUGCGUGGUCAUUGUGCUGGGCUGCCUGAUCGCUUCACAGUCUAGGGUCUGGGUCAAGCCUGCGGUUCUUGCAACCUGUGACUCUCCCUUCGUGUUGGGGCAUCCAGCGAGACCGUCUCAGGUCCUGGCUGGCCACCCACCACCAGCCCACCUGGCACACGCCAUCGGGUAGAGCCUUGUGCCCUGGCAGGCCACUGUGUCCCCUGAAUCCUGGGCCCGCAGAGCCCCUCCCCCGUCUUCCUGUCACGCGAAGGUGGAUACGGUGAGGCCGUCCCCGCCAAGGCCUUGGAGGCACAGCUCUGCCCUCCUGGGGUGAGCACGAAGCCCUCAGGGACUUGAGAUGCAGGGCCGCUGAACGCCAUGCAUGUGUAACCAGGUGGGGCCGAGAUACUCACACAGCCCCCCAGAGGCCUGCAGCACCAGCUCACCUAUGCCUGCCUCCCGGAUCCAGCCUGACCUCUGGGACCAGCUCCGGGCCGCUGACUCCACCUGCAGGAAGCCUGCCUGGCUUGGGGCCCUGGCACACCCGGGGCUGUGGAGAUGGGGACUCUAGGGUCUAGGGGGACUCAGCAAGCCAUCAGAAGGGAGCCCAGCAUCCCUGGGCCAGCCCAAGGAACUCCCUGGGUGGCCAAUGCUGCCUAGACCUGUGUGAUGACCACACGGCCCUGCCGCUAUCAGCCACCAUUGGCCACCCCGGCUCAGCAGGGUCUCAUACAGGAGCAUCUCUGGAGUCCCAAGAAAGGUGGGCCAGGGGCCAGCAAGGCUGUGAGGGUGCUUUGUGGAGCACCAGGCCCUGGGGACAGGAGGCCCUCGGCUCUGCAGGGUGUGGACAUCACCCAAAACCAGGCGUCAAAACCCCGAUUUUUUCCUGACCUCACUUGGGGAUCCAGCCAGGCUCAUGGGCCUGCUGCGUGACCUCAGACCUGGGCACAUGCUAGGCCUCGGUCUGCCCAGGGACAGACGCAGCCAUGGGCUCGAGUGCGUGCAGAUGAGCCGCUCGCUGUCCUGCCCAGGUCCAGGCUGUCCUACCCCCUGGGCGGUGAGCCCCGCUCCUUGCCCAGUUAUUCCCUCCUGCGAGGCCCAGGGGCCAUCUGUGGAAUGAAUGGAGGAGGGCAAAUCGCUGAAUGACACUUGGAGGGGCGCAGCUCAUCACCCCUAUGUAAGUGGGGGUCAGGGUGGCUCCUGUUCACGGGGACACAGCCAUGUGUGUCCUGCUCCAGGCUCCGGCUGCAGAUGCCCUCCCCACCCCCACCACAGCCCCCGCCUAAUUUAUGCCAUGAGGGGGCUGGCCACUAGCUGGUCCCCUGCCUGGCAGUGGCUUUGUCCCCAGGCGGAUUUCCAACAGCCGUCUUUGGGAAGAAAGAGCCCUUCUCUGGCCGGCAGUGAGGUCACCAGGAGGGGCUGGGCGCACACACAAAGGCCAUGGCCCCCCCUACCCUGCCCUGCUGGCAGCUGUCUCUUUGUCCCCCGCUCUCAGCCUAGCAGAAACCCUGUGGGGCCCCAGCUCAGCCUUGGGGAGGCCUGAGCUGCAUCCCUGAGAGGAGGGGACAGAAGCAGCCCCCUCUCCUGGCCUUGCUCCUGAUAAGCGACAGCACCUGUUGGAGUGCACACCACACCCCAGAUGCCACGCUGGGCCCAGGGUGGCUGUGGGGGCUCAGCCUGGUGGGGAGUGUGGGUCCCCAGGACAGGAAGGGGUGGCGGGCUGCCAGAAGGGCAGACCUGAGGUGUUGGGAGGCAGCUGGAGGGGGCAGGCAGCUGCUCCCCGGCCUGGGGCGAACAUGGUCCUGGGAGGGACUCUGGGGCUGGUGUUCCUGCCCUCAGAGGCUGAAGCCUGCAUCUCCCGGGAUCCCAUGACCCCGCAUGUACACUCACUGUGUGUGUGUGUGUGCAAACAUGCAUGAUUGUGUGUGCGGGGUGGUGAGGGGCUGGCAGACCGGGCACCCCUAGGCACUUCUCCAUGCGGCUCUGAGGAAACCCCAUGCCCUGGUCAGGGAGGCCCUGGGGCUGAGGCGCUAGGGAGGGUUGCUUUGAGGGCAAAGGCCUGGAGGCUGGAUCCGGGAGCUCAGUGACCACCAAGCCCUUCCCCAGCGGCGGGCAGCCCUCAGCCCCAGAGCUUCUCCCCAGUCUCCCCACCAAGGGAGGAAGCGGGGCCUGAAGGGAGCAAACAGAAGCCCUCAGCUGGCACCAGAUAGACAAGGCUGGGCUGGGCACUGGGCAGCGGGGGGUUCUCCAAGCUGGGCUGGAGCUGGGGGUGCUGGGCCCAAGGCCUGGGGUUGGGGCAGGGGGCAGAGGCCUGGGGUCCCACCCAGACCUCUAAGCUCUGCCCAGGGCCCUGUGAGGGCCCUGCCCUGGGACUUUGCGGCCAGCCAGGAAACAGAGUCAGAGGAGACAGAAGCCAGGAGAUGGCAGGCAGGGAGGGCCACCCUCUGGCUGGGUGCCCUGCUAGCAAACUUGGGUCACAGAGGGUGCUAGGGCCAGUGUGGGGCAGGCGCCUGGCAGGCAGCACAUCCUCAUGUCCUGGGAGGGAGAGAGAGCUGGGGAUGCUGGGUCCUGGGCCCCCUUCCUGUUGCCUGGUGCCUGGAAUGUCCAUUGUGCCCGUAGCCCAGCAACAAGCCUCGGUCGCCCCCGCUUCCCCACCCGUGAGCCACAGUCGGCAUUCCUCGGCAGGGCCCGCGCCUCCGCAGGCCAGGGCCCCCUUCCCCGAGUGUGUCCACUGGUUCAGAGCUGUCAGCGUCCUGCGCGUCCAGCAUCCCGGGUGGCCGAAGCUGCUGGCAGAGGCGGAGUGGUUCUGCCCGCGGCCAUGGGCUGGCUACUUGCUCUGAUGUGCUCUCUUGAAAGCACAAAAAGUCCGUGGUCUGACCUCGUCUCAUUCCCUGGUUCCCUGCUAGAUCCUGUGUAUCAGCAAGUGUUGAACAAUAGCAACUACCUGACACUGGGCUGGGCGGCCGGUCUGGGAAGGGGUGGGGGUCGGGGGCACACAGGUGUAUACAUUUGGUCCAGGACUCCUGGGGCUGGAUGGUUAAAUGGGUGCCUCCUGUUGUAUGUAAACUAUACUGCAAUAAGGCCGAUUUCUAAGCCAUUUUUAGGGGGCAUGGGAUGAUGUCAGGCCUGCUGGAGGCUGUUGGUUGGGAGACAGGGGGCACAGGGCUGUGGGGGUGGUAUGAGGAGGAGAGAUUGGAGAGCCCAGAAGAGGGGCUGCCUCCCAGAGCCGAGGGACAGCACCUCCUCUGGGGUGGCGCCCCACUUGCCCCCAACCCUGUGCUGCCGAGGGGUGGAGGGUCCCAAGGGCCAACCUCAACCAGAGAAACGCGUUCCUGGGUCUGUGACCAUCGGAUCUGCACUGGGAGGCGCAGGGAGCGGCCGGGCCAUCGCUACCCCUGCCAGGGACCGGGGACCUGUCUCUUCCACCUGCUCCGCAGCACGUCACCUGCCAGUGCCUGGGCCGUCCUCAGACCUGCCGGGGAGCUGAGACUCUCCAGGCCCGGCGGCCCCGGAAGGGAAGGCUGGGCAAAGCGGCCAAGGGCCUCUGAGAGGGCAGGGAGUUCCAGCCGCCACCUUCCCUGCCCGGGGUGUCUUGAGCAAAUAAAUGGUUGAGAGGGUCUGGGGCCU